GUUCAUACCAACAAUCGGUUCAUGCCAAAAAUCCAUUCAUGGGUUUUGAAUAAUCCGUCCAUAUUUUUUAAAACAAGGUAGGAGUCGUUCAUGCCAAAGAAUUCGUUCAUUUUUUGGCACAUGAAUGGGUUAUUCGCAAGGGGGAAAGAGUAUUAUGUUCAUGGUUCAUUUUUUGUUCAAGGCAGGAUUUUUCCAAUAAUCCGUUCAUGCCAAGAAUCGAUUCAUGGUUGAAUUCUUGUUCAAGGUAGGGAAUUUGUUCAUGCCAAUAAUCCGUUCAUGCUAAUAAUCCGUUCAUGUCUUUACUUUUAUUUGUUCUUGGGGGUAGGUAACCCGUUUUGUGCCAAUAAUCCGUUCAUGCCAAGCAUCCGUUCAUGGUUGAUUUUUUUUUCAACGUAGGAUUUUUGUUCAGGCAAAUAAUCCGUUCAUGGUUGAUUUCUUGUUCAAGGCAGGAUUUUUUGUUCAUGGCAAAAAUCUGUUCAUGGUUGAAUUUUUGUUCAAGAAAAAUCAAGAACAAGGGGAAAGAUGAAUCAGGACAUUUUUGACACGUCGGUUUUCUACUGAAAAGAUGUUCUCCAGUGUAUGGAAUUGGAAGUUUCAAAACUGAAGUCUCUGAAUAUAACAGAGCUGACUAAAAAGACAAUGUUUCUUGUAUGGUCCCCAGUCAGCUUUUUUGGCAUGUUUGAAUGGUUUUCAAACACUAUUAGUUAUUAUUUUGUGUAUUUCAAGUACUUCCAGUCUUUUAUUUUUUACCUGACAA